rnacentral:lncRNA from 1 species
AUGCAUGCCGCGCUGCUCAGCCUCCGGCUAGCUCUCGCUCUCGCUCUCUUCCCCCUGGCCCAGAGGGAAGAGGCGCGGACAGAGGUCCAGGGGGAGCCUGGCGAGCUGCUACAUGGCCAGCUCGAAGCCGGGAGACAUCGCUGCCAAGUUUGCUGCUCGGGAGUCGGCGGCGGUGGCGCUGCUGCUGCUGUUGCUGCUGCUACUGCUGGAGCUAGGGACAUGCUAAGCAGGCACCAGCAGCGACUCCUAGCUCUGCCGUUCCCUCCCGCGCCCGCUUGCCCGACCUCCUUUCUCCUCCGGCGGCUGCUGCCUGGGCUGGAGCUGAAGCGGCCACCGCUCCUUUAGCUAAACCUGCCUCCGGACCCGAGCAGGGGCAGGCGGGGUAGACGGGCAGCCGCCCGAGCCAAUGGAAGGACUGGCGGUGGGAGGAGGCUGCUGCACCCCUAGUCACGGACGGGCUGGCAGGCGUCAGGUAAAGGCGGGGAAAGUAGGGACCCCCGGGAGAGGCCCGGGGCUGGGCUCCGCGGGAGUGUAGGGGGUCGGGAGUCCCAGGCUCUCGGACUUGGAGUUCUAUGGGAACCCGGAGACAGCAGACUGGCGGGCCAAAGCCAGGACACUUGACGGAAGCUUCCAAACUUGGGGAAGAUUGUGAAAGAAGUUGCUGGCUGGACCUGGAGGCGGCAGAGGGUGCCUGAGAGCGCCUGCGAAAGGUCUGGAACUCAUGCUUACUGGGGAAAAACUCUCUGUCCAAGGCCCUGGCGAGACCCCUUCGAAGGAAAACCAGGCACUGGGCUUGAGAUACCGGGUCAUUAAAGUAGCCAGUUUUUAUUGAAAAUUGGAAGCCCUCAAGGCUAGUUUUCCAAAAGCUGAGUAUACAUCUCUGUUUUUGCGGGUAACCUCGAGGACAAUCCAUUGUAAGCAACUGGCCACCAACGAAGUUUUCUAGAGAAGAAGAGAGAACGCUGUACAGCAUCCCUUCUCACCCCUGCUGGGGUCUCACUUACACCAGCACCAGCUAAGUAGACAACUUAACUGGGUGCCUUCCUCAAGGUUCGCCUUUUCCAGCCCUGAAUUGGGCAUACAGAACAGUUACUUGGAUUUUUCCCUUGCGUUCUCUUUCACGCUUUCUAUUUGGCGUUGCUUUAAAGAAAUAAAGACACUUCCAUACCCA